AUUGAACGCUGGCGGCAGGCCUAACACAUGCAAGUCGAACGAGUGGCGGACGGGUGAGUAAUGUCUGGGAAACUGCCUGAUGGUGGGGGAUUACUACUGGAAACGGUAGCUAAUACCGCAUACCAUCAGAUGUGCCCAGAUGGGAUUAGCUAGUUGGUGGGGUAACGGCUCCCCAAGGCGACGAUCCCUAGCUGGUCUGAGAGGAUGACCAGCCACACUGGAACUGAGUCGCGGUCGAGACUCCUACGAGUGGCAGCAGUGGGGAAUAUUGCACAAUGGGCGCAAGCCUGAUGAAGCCAUGCCGCGUGUAUGAAGAGGGCCUUCGGGUUGUAAGGUACUUUCAGCGGGGAGGCGUUACCCGCAGAAGAAGCACCGGCUAACUCCGUGCCAGCAGCCGCGGUAAUAC
rnacentral:rRNA from 1 species